UACGAAGGGGGCUAGCGUUGUUCGGAUUUACUGGGCGUAAAGGGUGCGCAGGUGGCGGCGCGCGUGGGGGGUGAAAUCGCCCGGCUUAACUGGGCGGGGGCCUUCCAGACGGCGUGGCUUGAGCAGCGGAGGGGGACGUGGAAUUCCGGGUGGAGCGGUGAAAUGCGUAGAGAUCCGGAGGAACACCGAAGGCGAAGGCAGUCUCCUGGCAAGUUACUGACGCUCAGGUGCGAAAGCUAGGGGAGCGAACAGG
rnacentral:rRNA from 1 species